rnacentral:misc_RNA from 1 species
UUUCCGUAGGUGAACCUGCGGAAGGAUCAUUAUCGUACAAAAUGGGCGAGGGGCAUGCAAGGGCUGUCGCUGGCCCAAAAAGUCGUGCACGCCCGAGUGUGUCCUCUCGCAUAAUAAUCCAUCUCACCCUUGUGCAUCACCGCGUGGGCACCCUUUGGGAUCAUCUCGGAGGGGGGCUCGCGUUUUCACACAAACCCCCCUUUUAAAAGUGUAGAAUGGCCACAUUUAUGCAAUCAAUACAACUUUCAACAACGGAUCUCUUGGCUCUC